rnacentral:rRNA from 1 species
GACGAACGCUGGCGGCGUGCUUAACACAUGCAAGUGGAGCGACGAACCAGGCUUCGGCCUGGGGCAGAGCCGCGAACGGGUGAGUAACACGUGGGUAACCUGCCUCGAUGACCGGGACAACCCGGGGAAACCCGGGCUAAUACCGGAUGUGCUCUCCCCACAUCAGUGGGGAAUGGAAAGGAAGCUUCGGCCUCCGCAUCGAGAUGGGCCCGCGGCCCAUUAGCUUGUUGGUGAGGUAACGGCUCACCAAGGCUGCGAUGGGUAGCUGGUCUGAGAGGACGAUCAGCCACACUGGGACUGAGACACGGCCAGACUCCUACGGGAGGCAGCAGUGGGGAAUCUUGCGCAAUGCGCGAAAGCGUGACGCAGCAACGCCGCGUGGGGAAG